rnacentral:rRNA from 1 species
ACGUAGGGGCCGAGCGUUGUCCGGAGUUACUGGGCGUAAAGCGCGCGCAGGCGGCCACCUAAGCCCGGCGUGAAAGCCCCCGGCUCAACCGGGGAGGGUCGUCGGGGACUGGGUGGCUUGAGGACGGCAGGGGCCGGUGGAAUCCCCGGUGUAGUGGUGAAAUGCGUAGAGAUGUGGAGGAACACCGAUGGCGAAGGCAGCCCCCUGGGUCAAAACUGACGCUCAUGCACGAAAGCGUGGGGAGCAAACAGGA